rnacentral:rRNA from 1 species
AGAGUUUGAUCCUGGCUCAGGACGAACUCUGGCGGCGUGCCUAACACAUGCAAGUCGAACGGGGAUAGAUUGAAGGUUUACCUGAUAUCUAUUCUAGUGGCGGACGGGUGAGUAACGCGUGAGCAAUCUGCCUUGUACUGGGGGAUAACGUCAAGAAAUCGGCGCUAAUACCGCAUAAUACUAUUAGAUCGCAUGGUCAUAUAGUCAAAACUCCGGUGGUACAAGAUGAGCUCGCGUCCAAUUAGCUAGUUGGUGAGGUAAUGGCCCACCAAGGCGACGAUUGGUAGCCGAACUGAGAGGUUGAUCGGCCACAUUGGGACUGACACACGGCCCACACUCCUACGGGAGGCAGCAGUGGGGAAUAUUGCGCAAUGGAGGGAACUCUGACGCAGCAACGCCGCGUGAAGGAUGAAGGUUUUCGGAUUGUAAACUUCUUUGAUCGGGGACGAAAAUGACGGUACCCGAGGAACAAGCCACGGCUAGCUACGUGCCAGCAGCCGCGGUAAUACGUAGGUGGCAAGCGUUGUCCGGAAUUACUGGGUGUAAAGGGCGUGUAGGCGGGAAGGCAAGUCAGAUGUGAAAGCCCAUGGCUUAACUGUGGAACUGCAUCUGAAACUGUUUUUCUUGAGUACUGGAGAGGAAAGUGGAAUUCCUAGUGUAGCGGUGAAAUGCGUAGAGAUUAGGAGGAACACCAGUGGCGAAGGCGGCUUUCUGGACAGUAACUGACGCUGAGGCGCGAAAGCGUGGGGAGCAAACAAGAUUAGAUACCCUGGUAGUCCACGCUGUAAACGAUGGAUACUAGGUGUGGGAGGUAUCGACCCCUUCCGUGCCGGAGUUAACACAAUAAGUAUCCCACCUGGGGAGUACGGCCGCAAGGUUGAAACUCAAAGGAAUUGACGGGGGCCCGCACAAGCAGUGGAGUAUGUGGUUUAAUUCGAUGCUCCGCGAAGAACCUUACCUGGGUUUGACAUAACAGUGGUAGAGAAGUGAAAACGGAUCGACCCUUCGGGGAGCUGUUACAGGUGUUGCAUGCCUGUCGUCAGCUCGUGUCGUGAGAUGUUCGGUUAAGUCCGCUAACGAGCGCAACCCGCGCUGUGUGUUACAAGUGUCACACAGUACCGCCGGUAUUAAGUCGGAGGAAGGUGCGGAUGACGUCAAGUCAGCAUGACCUUUAUAUCCAGGGCUACACACACGCUACAAUGGUCAGAACAAUAGGUUGCCAAGCCGCAAGGCGGAGCCAAUCCUCCAAAUCUGGCCUCAGUUCAGAUUGCAGGCUGCAACUCGCCUGCAUGAAGUCGGAGUUGCUAGUAACCGCAGGUCAGCAUACUGCGGUGAAUACGUUCCCGGGGAUUGCACUCACCGCCCGUCAAG